GCUCGCAGGCUCUGCGUCAGCGCCGGGACGGAGGAGCCGCCGGCAGCCCCGCGGCCGCGCUCCGGAGCCUGAAACAGCAGCAGCAGCGAGUGACCGAGCAGCUCAAAGGCUUGUUCGGGCAGAGGCAGCAGCUCCCAGUGGACCUCUGGACCCUGCUGGGAGAGCAGAGAGCUAGGACGUCCGCUGGGAUUUCCAGCCUGGCCGCCGAAAUCCGGGAGCUGCAGCAGAGGGAUGAGGAGGUGUGAGAGGCAGCGCCUGCAUCCAACACCCUGCCCGAGACACCAACCUGGUGACUUUGCCUUGACAAAAAGCUCGUCCUCCCGCCACUGUGACAUACCCGAGUGCCUUCCCAUACACCCCAGAGCUGCACCCCGGAGAGAAGGCAGCUCAAAUUCCCCGGCACUGCUCCAUCCGGAAAGCACCAGCACCUUGCACGCUCCAGGGUGGGCUUGGGUCAGGCACCCCUGCCCUGUCCCGGUCACAGGGCCACCGCAUCUGAGGACAGUUCUUGCUCCUAAAGGUGGAGCAUAAACGUUGCUGGCCUGCGGCUGAGCAGCGAGCACCAGGAUGGGAAACAGUUUCAACUAAACAACUGUGGCCAUAUGCAUGCAUGCAGUCAUGCUUUGUAUUGACCUCUUUGUUUAUUUAAUGGCCACUCAUUUGGACUGGUAAUUAAAUAAAAACA